rnacentral:rRNA from 1 species
AACGAACGCUGGCGGCAUGCCUAACACAUGCAAGUCGAACGAGACCUUCGGGUCUAGGGGCGCACGGGUGCGUAACGCGUGGGAACCUGCCCUUAGGUUCGGAAUAACUCCCCGAAUGGGGUGCUAAUACCGGAUAAUGUCUUCGGACCAAAGAUUUAUCGCCUUUGGAUGGGCCCGCGUUGGAUUAGCUAGUUGGUAGGGUAAUAGCAUACCAAGGCGACGAUCCAUAGCUGGUCUGAGAGGAUGAUCAGCCACACUGGGACUGAGACACGGCCCAGACUCCUACGGGAGGCAGCAGUGGGGAAUAUUGGAAAAUGGGCGAAAGCCUGAUCCAGCAAUGCCGCGUGAGUGAUGAAGGCCUUAGGGUUGUAAAGCUCUUUUACCCGGGAUGAUAAUGACAGUACCGGGAGAAUAAGCUCCGGCUAACUACGUG